rnacentral:rRNA from 1 species
GGACGACCGCUGGCGGCGUGCUUAACACAUGCAAGUCGAACGGAAAGGCCCUGCUUUUGUGGGGUGCUCGAGUGGCGAACGGGUGAAUAACACGUGAGUAACCUGCCCUUGACUUUGGGAUAACUUCAGGAAACUGGGGCUAAUACCGGAUAGGAGCUCCUGCUGCAUGGUGGGGGUUGGAAAGUUUCGGCGGUUGGGGAUGGACUCGCGGCUUAUCAGCUUGUUGGUGGGGUAGUGGCUUACCAAGGCUUUGACGGGUAGCCGGCCUGAGAGGGUGACCGGCCACAUUGGGACUGAGAUACGGCCCAGACUCCUACGGGAGGCAGCAGUGGGGAAUAUUGCACAAUGGGCGGAAGCCUGAUGCAGCAACGCCGCGUGCGGGAUGACGGCCUUCGGGUUGUAAACCGCUUUCGCCUGUGACGAAGCGUGAGUGACGGUAAUGGGUAAAGAAGCACCGGCUAACUAUGUG